rnacentral:rRNA from 1 species
CAGGCCUAACACAUGCAAGUCGAGCGGACUUAUCCUUCGGGAUAGGUUAGCGGCGGACGGGUGAGUAACACGUAGGCAACCUGCCUGUAAGAUCGGGAUAACUACCGGAAACGGUAGCUAAGACCGGAUAGCUGGUUUCUCCGCAUGGGGGAAUCAUGAAACACGGGGCAACCUGUGGCUUACGGAUGGGCCUGCGGCGCAUUAGCUAGUUGGUGGGGUAAUGGCCCACCAAGGCGACGAUGCGUAGCCGACCUGAGAGGGUGAUCGGCCACACUGGGACUGAGACACGGCCCAGACUCCUACGGGAGGCAGCAGUAGGGAAUCUUCCGCAAUGGGCGCAAGCCUGACGGAGCAACGCCGCGUGAGUGAUGAAGGUUUUCGGAUCGUAAAGCUCUGUUGCCAAGGAAGAACGCCUCGGAGAGUAACUGCUCUGAGGGUGACGGUACUUGAGAAGAAAGCCCCGGCUAACUACGUGCCAGCAGCCGCGGUAAUACGUAGGGGGCAAGCGUUGUCCGGAAUUAUUGGGCGUAAAGCGCGCGCAGGCGGUCUUUUAAGUUUGGUGUUUAAGCCCGGGGCUCAACCCCGGUUCGCACUGAAAACUGGGAGACUUGAGUGCAGGAGAGGAAAGCGGAAUUCCACGUGUAGCGGUGAAAUGCGUAGAGAUGUGGAGGAACACCAGUGGCGAAGGCGGCUUUCUGGACUGUAACUGACGCUGAGGCGCGAAAGCGUGGGGAGCAAACAGGAUUAGAU